AUUGAACGCUGGCGGCAGGCCUAACACAUGCAAGUCGAGCGGAUGAAGGGAGCUUGCUCCUGGAUUCCGCGGCGGACGGGUGAGUAAUGCCUAGGAAUCUGCCUGGUAGUGGGGGAUAACGUCCGGAAACGGGCGCUAAUACCGCAUACGUCCUGCGGGAGCAAGUGGGGGAUCUUCGGACCUCACGCUCUCAGAUGAGCCUAGGUCGGAUUAGAUAGUUGGUGGGGUAAAGGCCUACCAAGGCGACGAUCCGUAACUGGUCUGAGAGGAUGAUCAGUCACACUGGAAGUGAGACACGGUCAAGACUACUAAGGGAGGCAGCAGUGGGGAAUAUUGGACAAUGGGCGAAAGCCUGAUCCAGCCAGGCCGCGUGUGUGAAGAAGGUCUUCGGAGUGUAAAGAACUUUAAGUGGGGAGGAAGGGCAGUAAGUUAAUACCUUGCUGGUUUGACGUUACCAACAGAAUAAGCACCGGCUAACUUCGUG
rnacentral:rRNA from 1 species